rnacentral:lncRNA from 1 species
AGCCUCUGCAGCUUCUUCUACAUCCCCAACAGUCCUCCGCAUACAGCAGAGCACUGACUCAUCUUCCCAGACUUCUUCUCUUAUGCGAGCUCCACCGCCUUUGCCCGCCUUCGAGGUCCAGGAACUUCCCAGUCGCCAUUCUCCUGCUCGAGAUCCCAUUGUUGUUGCUUCCGUGCUUUGGCAGUUGAAGAUUCUAGAAUCAUUCGAACUGAGAUUUGAGGAAUUUGUUCUGCAAUUUAAGCUCCACGACUGUCUGGACGAGCUGAUUUGUGAGUGUCGCCUGAGUUAAUCAAAUCGUCGCUGCCCUUGAUGAAGACAAAGAGACAAAGAUGAUGACGGUAAGGAAUUGAUGAUGGCACUGGGCUUUCAGCAGAGGGCUCGGGGCAACCUUGUUGUACCGCGCCAUGGUUGCAGUUGCUUCU